rnacentral:ncRNA from 1 species
GAUAUAACCUGUAUCUAUCUCGAAGUCCCACAAGUGGGUAUUAAUGCAAUGUGAUUUCUGCCCGGUGCUCUGAAUGUCAAAGUGAAGAAAUUCAAAGAAUCCUGGGUAAAUAGCAGAAGUCACUAUGACUCUUAGCCAAAUGCUUUGUCAUCUCAUUAGUGACACACAUGAAUGGACCA